GUUCCCCGCCCCCUCACCCGGCCCAGCGCCCACUAGCCACAAGCCCCGCUUCCCCCUGGAGAUCAGCGCGCACUUCCCGAGGCUCCGUCGCACUCAGAGGUCGCACCCACUCCUAGGACUUCUAGGGGGUGCCCCGGCCCGGUGUCCCGGGAUCCUGCGAUCGCAAGAGCAGAAUGACGAAGGUGCUGCGGGUGGCAAUCCUGCUGUCCUACUGCUCUAUCCUGUGUAACUACAAGGCCAUCGAAAUGCCCUCGCACCAGACCUACGGAGGGAGCUGGAAAUUCCUGACGUUUAUUGAUCUGGUUAUCCAGGCUGUCUUUUUUGGCAUCUGUGUGCUGACUGAUCUUUCCAGUCUUCUGACUCGAGGAAGUGGGAACCAGGAGCAAGAGAGGCAGCUCAAGAAGCUCAUCUCUCUCCGGGACUGGAUGUUAGCUGUGUUGGCCUUUCCUGUUGGGGUUUUUGUUGUAGCAGUGUUCUGGAUCAUUUAUGCCUAUGACAGAGAGAUGAUAUACCCGAAGCUGCUGGAUAAUUUUAUCCCAGGGUGGCUGAAUCAUGGAAUGCACACGACGGUUCUGCCCUUUAUAUUAAUCGAGAUGAGGACAUCGCACCAUCAGUAUCCCAGCAGGAGCAGCGGACUCACUGCCAUAUGUACCUUCUCUGUUGGCUAUAUAUUAUGGGUGUGCUGGGUGCAUCAUGUAACUGGCAUGUGGGUGUACCCUUUCCUGGAACACAUUGGCCCAGGAGCCAGAAUCAUCUUCUUUGGGUCUACAACCAUCUUAAUGAACUUCCUGUACCUGCUGGGAGAAGUUCUGAACAACUAUAUCUGGGAUACACAGAGAAAGCCUCCAUCUUGGCAAGGCACGUAAUCUUAUCCAAGCUGUGCAAAACCUGUCCAAAGUGUAUGUAAAAUAACAUAAAAAUUGAAAGGUGGAAAAAGCGCCAGCACAGACAUGUAGUGAUUGAGUCCUGCAUGAAAAUACAUCCAAAGGCAAGAUGGUUUGGAGAUUUUAGGAAGCCCUGGCUCUUUCCUCUGACACAAUCACAGCAUUCUAGACAUCCCCAGUAAAUGGACUGUGUGACACAGACAUUGAGAACCCUGCUUUGUGCCAGACACCCUGCCAGGAGCUCAAUCGAAUCAGACAAAUAAAGCACAGUAUGGAAGAAGAGAAAGAAAAGCCUAAAUUGGAAUGAGAUCCAAGCCUAAACGCAAGAGCUAGAUUGAGCCGCCAUUGAAGACUCAUUCCCCUCCGGCAUUGGCAGUGGGGGAGAAAAGGCUUCAAAGGAACUGGUGGCAUCAGCACCCCCCCGCCCCCAAUGAGGACACCUUUAAAUAUAAAUAUGUAUAAACAUAGAAUACAGUUGUUUCCAAAAGAACUCACCCUCACUGUGUUUUAAAGAAUUCUUCCCAAAGUCAUUAUUGAUAAUAACAUUUUUUCCUUUUCUAGUUUUAAAACCAAAAUUGGACCUUGGAUUUUUAUUUUGGCAAUUGUAACUCCAUCUAAUCAAGAAAUAAUAAAAGUUUAUUGCACUUCUUUUUGAGAACUAUGUUAAAGUCAAAGGGGCAGAUGUAGAGUAAGGCUUUUGUGUUUUUAGUCCUAAAGGUGGCUGUAAUCAUGAACCUAAGCCACCACGGGGACCUGAGAGGAAAGGGGACAGAUGUUUCUCAUUGCAAUAAUGUCACAGUUGCCUCAGAUGAGCACUAUUUGUAAUAAUGAUGUCAAUUUCAUGAAAAGCCUGAGUGUAUUGCAGCUCUUGAUUUAAUCAUGUGAAACUUUUCUUAGAUGCAAAUUCUGACUUUAAUAAAGACGAAGCCACUCU